rnacentral:lncRNA from 1 species
UUUAGUGAAGUUAUCAUCAUAAUUUAUUCCAUGCCCUUCCAUUCUCUUUCCAAAAAGAAAGAAACAAAAAGUAGCCUUGUUCCAUCUGUUCCAAAAGAAAGAAGGAAGAAUAAUUUUUUUGUUAACUCCCAUCCAUUUCAAAACAAGUUCGGCUCCACAAUCAUCCGAAAAUCCAUUCUCAACUUCUUCAAUUACCAAGCAUACAGGAAGAAUUAGAGUAAAAUGUUGUCCAAGAAAGGGUUUAAUUCAAGAUUGAAGCAAGGAUGAGACUAUAACAUCAAAUUAAGAGGUAAGUCAUGUGUUUUUUCUAUAUUCAUAUAACUUGAACAAAUAAUAUAUGUUAUCAUAAUUGCUAUGUUUUGGUUGUGGGAGAUUGUAUUGUUGAUAGAAUCGAAAGGAUUCUAGGGUAAUAAGGAUAGAAUUGAGUGGGAAAUUGGAUAUCAAACAUGUUCAAACCCGUAUGAAAUCUGAACUUUAAAGUUAUGCACACAAAAUGUUUGUUAAAAUGUCUCAAUGAGACUAUUAUGUUAAAACAUGAGAAUUGGUUAAAGCUCUGUGCUAGAUAAUGUACACAUGAGUUAUAAGAUAAAUCAAGUUGGUUAGAAAUUGAGUGUGUAUGUCUAUGUCAAAAAAAAUAAUUUAACUCUGCAUUGGUACUGUAAUAUUGUUAGGCAGUGUUAGAGGUGGCAAACGGACGGGCGGGCCCGGGCCGGGCCGAGCACGGGCGGGCCGGGCCAAAAAAGGCCCGGAUUUUGGCGGGCCGAAAAUGUUAGGCCUGUGGCCCUGGUUGGGCCGGCUCGGCCCGCGGGCUUCUUCCCCUAUUAUUUUUUAUUUAUUUUAUUUUUUUUUUAAAUUUUGCUACACCAAAAAUAGUAAUAAUAAUAAAUAUUAAAAGUAAUAAAAUAAUUUAUAAUAAAUAAUAAUUCUAAUUACCUACAUUAACUACAUAUCUCAAUCAAUUAAAAUUUUAAUAGUAUUAUAAAUUACUUUCAAAGUAUAUAAUCAAAUUUGAUUUUUUAAAAUUAUACUUUAAAAUUAAUAUAAUUUAUUUAACUUUAAAAAAUGCAUUCAUGACUCCACAAAUAUUGUUCCAAGAGAUAUCUAAUUAAUUUUUAUAUUGAAGAUUGCAUUAAAAAUAAAUAGUUGUUGUAGCUCAGUUGGUUUGAACUCUUAUUUAUUUACUUACAAGUCUUGUGUUCAACGGGCCGCGGGCCGGGCCUUCACGGACCGGGCCAAAAACGGCCCAGAUUUUAUGUGCUGAAAAAUGGCGGCCCAAAGCCCAGCCCGUGGCGGGCGGGCCGGUCCGACCCGCCGGCCUGGGCCAUUGCCAGGUCUAGGCAGCGUCUACGUCAACUUUCAAAUAGGCAAGAAAAAAAAACUGCUUAUAAUCUUGUGUAUCUUUUUAUAUACCAUAUAAUGUUUAUUGAUUUGGAAAUAUUAUUAUUUAAAGUUUCAACAUGAUGUUAAAAGUAAGAAUUUUCUGGUGAGACAUUUACCACGUACCGCUUUGUGAGUUCCAGAGUACCUUAAUAGCUUUUACUAAACACUCAUAGUAGCUUUUAUUUACUACUUGAUGAUGGCAAAAGAAGAAGUCUCUUUGUUAAGAUUAGAUAAACUACAAGUCAUGAAAUAUAUUCCUAUUGCACUAGAUCCUAGCAAAAGUUUACAUUGUUCAUAUGGGAAUUGAUUAGUGUGUUUCAAAUGAUAAAUAAGUACCACCUAAAUAAAGAGAGAAAAAUGUUGAAACAUUUAUUAGAUAGUCAUACCCAUUUACCAUCUGAUGCAUUAUUAUCAUUGCAGGGACAAAAGCAGUAGGUACAUGGUCCAUAAUGAAUGGGCCAUAUUGUUCUUUUUCUUCUCAUCUAUUUGCCUUAUUAACCUCCCGAGAUUAUGAAAAGGUAAAGAGUGCCAAAAUGAUUAAACUAGACACAUACUUGUGGACAAAUCCUCAAACAUUCCCAGUCACUCACUUCCAUUCUACACCACAUUCCUCAUACAAUGAUAAUAAAGUAUCUGGAAAAGCUCACUAUUAUUGAUAAUAUAGGUCAUUAUAAAGGGAAACUAGAAAGUGUAUAUUUCUGGUUUCCUCACAAAAUCUUUCCUGUUUGGAAUAUAGGGGUCAGUCUUCACUAUUGUUGUCUAUUGUGGAUGGCUUCCUUUGUUUAGAAUAAAAUGAAUCUUGAUAUUGAUAUAAAUGAGGAUAUAUUGAACAAAGUGGCUAACAGAAAUCAGUUUUUUUCUCUCUCCUUUUAAUUUCUAUAAUUUGAUUUCUUUUUGAUUUGCUAAGAUAAUGACCUAUGAAGUUAAUAAUAAUUGGGGACGUAAUUGAAUCUACUGCGACUGUUACAGGAUGAUUACGGGGUUCUAAAAUUGAAACAGGUGGCCCAAAAAUCAGAUUAUGUGAACAUUUAUUUCUUUUUCCAGGGUCCUGUUAAUGUUUCCUUUCCAUCGAUUUUGGUUGCACUUUGGUUAUUUAGGAUUAUAUGGAAAUUUAGGAUUUUAUAUAUGUAAAUUACCCAAGGAAAAUUCUAUCUUCCUUGUUUUGGUUAUUGAAUUUUUAUGCUCUCUACAUUCCACUUCAAGUUUCAAAACCAAGUCUGGAUUAUGGUAUUGUUAUUUGGAGUUAUAAUUGAGUUACUAUCUGAAUGCAAUUUUAAAUUCAUAACAUGCUAGGUUCAUAUAGUUUGGCAGAUUCUCAGAAUUGAUGUGAUAUGACCUUUGCAAUCACCCCUACACAUGAAUGAUGUAUGUAGGACUCAUAUACCCCUCUCCUAGUUUUUGAAUUAAAGGAAAGGUCUUGGGUUGAUAUUUCUGGAUUAAGAAAUUCAUCAUGCCUCAUUUUUCAAUGCUUGGAAGAAUCUUCUUCUCAGUUAACUAUCAAUGUACAAUUAUGAAAUUUGAUGAGCUGGGGCAACUACCUUGAAAGGAUAAUUUGUAUCUAGUUAUUAAUAUUUUACAAAAAUUAAAUUUUAACAAUGAUUAACAUUGUCACUUGGUGUGAUUUACAUUUAUGUUGUUUGUUUUUGUGUGUGCGCGUGUAUAUAUUUAUUAUAUUUCUUUUUUGACUCGGUCAUUUGUUGUGAUUUUAAUGUUUGCCUUUGUAUGAGUAGCUAUGGAGGCUUGUGCAUCUACGUUUACGGAAGACAAUGGACGAAAUUAUGAAGUGUACUCUCUCUAUAUAUGUAGAUAUGUACUUUGAUUGAAGAACUGUGGUAGCUUUAGAUGGUUAAUUGAAAAGAUAAUGAAUGAUUAUGUAGUGGAUGAUUUUAUUAAGUUAAUAAUAUUUUAGUUUUUUUGUAUUUUUUCCAUUAUUUGCUAUGGGGACAUUGAGACAGCCAGGUACACAAAGAGAAUGUUAAAUUUUGAUUCGGCAACAAUAUAAUUCGUUACCAAAGCAUUGAAC